GCCCAGGUGGCGGAACUUGGUAGACGCGCUGCCUUGAGGGGGCAGUAACCGCAAGGUUGUGCGGGUUCAAAUCCCGCCCUGAGCA
rnacentral:tRNA from 1 species